GUCUACGGCCAUACCACCCUGAACACGCCCGAUCUCACCUGAUCUUGGAAAAAAUAAAGCUGGGGCACCUGGGUGGCACAGCGGUUAAGCGUCUGCCUUCGANG
rnacentral:rRNA from 1 species